UGAUGUACACUCUUAUAUUCUAUAAAAGACAUUCUUCCUCACAUUCUCACACAAGUGAAUACAUCCUAAUCCUUGCACUCUUUUUUCAAGAAAAAUCCACUAAUUCCUGGAUUCUUAGAAGGAAAAACACACCCAGAAUUUCUGCAAUUUUAGAUAUACAUAGAUCGAAGAAGUUUUUAUCUUCUCAAGUUAAUUUUGAGCUAAAAGUUGAAGUUCAUUCUGGGACUUACUGCUGAUUUCUGUCUACUCAUUGCUGAUUCUUAAGUCUCGUUGAACUUCUCUCUUUCAUUUUAGCCUUUAUUUGGCCAUUCUAAGUUCCCUAACUGCAUUUCAAGGUUUCCUAUUAGAUUUGUGGCCUAAGAAGUAAGAUGUCGGAAGUGUUGGAGAUGAGCUUGGAAAUAUGACCAGUGCUUGGCUUGAUUUUAAAGUUUUGUCAAUUAAAAGUGGUCAUCUAUUGUAAUUAUUGAAUUUUAGUUUAGUAUGGUUCUUGAUAUAGAGUUGUAAUAAUUCAGUUCAUUAUCAUUGAAUGUUGUUAUACAGAUUUAGUAGACUGAUAGUUAACGUUAAAAAAAUAUAGAUUAUGGAAUGUUGUUAUAUAGCAGUUUAUCAUGAGUUUAGCAUGUUAAAGUCCCUCUUGCACGAAGUAGCUUCAUUAUUAGUAGUUUAUUAACAGUAGAGAUGUAAAUGUUAAUUUAGGGAUGAUAUUGUAUAAGUAAUUCAAUUGGAGCUGGUGUUUAAACUCGUUUGAAGUA